UUGCCAGACUCCUACGGGAGGCAGCAGUGAGGAAUAUUGGUCAAUGGACGCAAGUCUGAACCAGCCAUGCCGCGUGCAGGAAGACGGCUCUAUGAGUUGUAAACUGCUUUUGUACGAGGGUAAACGCAGAUACGUGUAUCUGUCUGAAAGUAUCGUACGAAUAAGGAUCGGCUAACUCCGUGCCAGCAGCCGCGGUAAUACGGAGGAUUCAAGCGUUAUCCGGAUUUAUUGGGUUUAAAGGGUGCGCAGGCGGCGUGUCAAGUCAGCGGUAAAAUGUCGGGGCUCAACCCCGGCCGGCCGUUGAAACUGGCGUGCUCGAGUUGGAGAGAAGUAUGCGGAAUUCGUGGUGUAGCGGUGAAAUGCAUAGAAAACACGAAGAACCCCGAUUGCGAAGGCAGCAUACCGGCUCCACACUGACGCUGAGGCACGAAAGCGUGGGUAUCGAACAGGAUUAGAUACCCCUGUAAA
rnacentral:rRNA from 1 species